UACAGAGGUCUCAAGCGUUGUUCGGAUUCAUUGGGCGUAAAGGGUGUGUAGGUGGCGCCGUAAGUCGGGUGUGAAAUUUCGGAGCUUAACUCCGAAACUGCAUUCGAUACUGCGGUGCUUGAGGACUGGAGAGGAGACUGGAAUUCAUGGUGUAGCAGUGAAAUGCGUAGAGAUCAUGAGGAAGACCAGUGGCGAAGGCGGGUCUCUGGACAGUUCCUGACACUGGAGAACACGGAAGGCCAGGGGAGCAAACGGG
rnacentral:rRNA from 1 species